CGCUUCAGUUGAUCAGUUCGGAACCGCGCGCGCGUCGCUACAGCCCUACGCCUUCCCGCCUACGCGAGUGACAUUCAAAUUUCGAAUUACUUCGGCAGUGAACUGUGGAGUUUUAUGAAAAAAGUUUCUAUUUGAAUAUUAUUUUUUUUUAGUGUGAACUUUAAAAAAAAUAAGUGAAGUGUCUAUUGUUAUAAAAGACGCAGUGAUAUGGGCGCGCGGCGAGCCGGCGCACGUGGACGCUGCUUUUUGGCGGGAGACGCCAUGUUGGUUCUACUUUGACAAUUUAAAUAAAAGUGAAUAGCACCAAUAAUAAGGAAAGUGAUAAAAGUGAACGGUACAUUAUGUAAAGUGAUGAGGUGAAUAUAUGGAAAGGCGCUCGAGGCGUUUGUGAGUGAAGUGACAUAAACACAAGUGAAAUGAAGUGAAAACGAAUCUAGUCAGGAAAAUGGGUAUCCAAGUGGAGAAUAGUGUAAAUUAUAGUUCCAGUAAUACAUGAGGGGUUUGGGGUCGGCUAACUAUAACUGGAUUGCGGUCAAGUCAAAUAAAACCAAAUUCGUUUAUUUCAAAAAGUCUUAGUUUAUGAGUAAUUUUGAAACGUAAAAAUCGUCUCUUUGCCGAGAUUCAACCAGCGGUUCGGUAGCUAAAUUCUACUGCG
rnacentral:lncRNA from 1 species